rnacentral:lncRNA from 1 species
UCCCACUUGAUGAGAAUACAGCACGCAUGCAGAGCUCUAUCUACAGUGCUGACAGCGCUGCAUGUUUUACUAGAAGGACCUGGCAUCAGCUCUUCGAGCAGGGCCAGAGUCUUUCUGUGUCAUCCAGACUGAAGUGCAGCACUAUGAUCAUAACUCAUUGCAGCCUCCACCUCCUGGCACCUCCUGGCUCAAGCAAUCCUCCCACCCCAGCCUCCUGAGUAGCUGGGACUAUAGGAAUGCACCACCAUGCCCGGAUUUAUUAUUAUUAUUAAUUUUUGUAAAGAUGGGGGUC